rnacentral:rRNA from 1 species
ACCUACGGGGCGCAGCAGUAGGGAAUUUUCGUCAAUGGGCGCAAGCCUGAACGAGCAAUGCCGCGUGAACGAGGAAGGUCUUCGGAUCGUAAAGUUCUGGUGUAGGGGAAAAAGAGCGGAGAGAGGAAAUGGUCUCCGAUUGAUAUUACCCUUCGAGGAAGUCACGGCUAACUACGUGCCAGCAGCCGCGGUAAUACGUAGGUGGCGAGCGUUAUCCGGAAUGAUUGGGCGUAAAGGGUGCGUAGGCGGCCUGCUAAGUCUGGAGUGAAAGGUACCGGCUCAACCGGUACAGGCUCUGGAAACUG